rnacentral:rRNA from 1 species
UAAGGCAUCUUGAAACUUUUAAAAGACCCGCAAGGGUAUGCUGAGAGAUGGGCUUGCGGCACAUUAGUUAGUUGGUAAGGUAAUGGCUUACCAAGACUAUGAUGUGUAGCUGGACUGAGAGGUUGAACGGCCACAUUGGGACUGAGAUACGGCCCAAACUCCUACGGGAGGCAGCAGUAAGGAAUUUUCGGCAAUGGAGGAAACUCUGACCGAGCAACGCCGCGUGAACGAUGAAAUAUUUAGGUACGUAAAGUUCUUUUAUUAAAGAAGAAAAAAUGAUGGAAAAAUCAUUCUGACGGUAUUUAAUGAAUAAGCCCCGGCUAACUAUGUGCCAGCAGCUGCGGUAAUACAUGGGGGGCAAGCGUUAUCCGGAUUUAUUGGGCGUAAAGGGUGCGUAGGCGGUUUAAUAAGUCUAUGGUAUAAGUUCAACGCUUAACGUUGUGAUGCUAUGGAAACUGUUUGACUAGAGUUGGAUAGAGGCAAGUGGAAUUCCAUGUGUAGCGGUAAAAUGCGUAAAUAUAUGGAGGAACACCAGUAGCGAAGGCGGCUUGCUGGGUCUUAACUGACGCUGAGGCACGAAAGCGUGGGGAGCAAACAGGAUUAGAUACCCUGGUAGUCCACGCCGUAAACGAUGAGUACUAAGUAGUAUG